rnacentral:rRNA from 1 species
CCUACGGGUGGCAGCAGUCGAGAAUCAUUCACAAUGGGGGAAACCCUGAUGGAGCGACGCCGCGUGGGGGAAUGAAGGUCUCCGGAUGGUAAACCCCUGUCAUGGGGGAGAAAAUUAAAAAGAGAGUACGACAAGAGGAAGAGACGGCUCACUCUGGGCCAGCACCCGCGGUAAUACAGAGGUAUCAAGCGUUGUACGGAAUGACUGGGCGUACAGCGCGCGAAGGCUUUUUCUUAAGACGUGUGUGAAAGGCCCCGGCUCAACCCGCGGACGGCCCAUGAUACUGCGAGACUAGAGUACUGGAGAGGGAACCGGUAUUCUCGGUGUAGCAGU